rnacentral:rRNA from 1 species
CCCUUAGAUGUUCUGGGCCGCACGCGUGCUACACUGAGUGGAUCAGCGGGUCAGGUUGCGCGAAAGCGUUUCCUAAUCUUUAAAUCCGCUCGUGAUGGGGAUUGACGGUUGCAAUUUUCUGUCAUGAACGAGGAAUACCUUGUAAGCGCGGGUCAUCAUCCCGCGCUGAAUACGUCCCUGCCCUUUGUACACACCGCCCGUCGCUCCUACCGAUUGAUUGAUCCGGUGAAUUACAUAGAAUUUUGCGUUUUACAUGACGGAAGAUGAAGUGUUUUAAACCUUAUCAUUUAGAGGAAGGAGAAGUCGUAACA